rnacentral:rRNA from 1 species
UACAGAGGUCUCAAGCGUUGUUCGGAUUCAUUGGGCGUAAAGGGUGCGUAGGCGGCGCGGUAAGUCGGGUGUGAAAUCUCGGAGCUUAACUCCGAAACUGCAUUCGAUACUGCCGUGCUUGAGGACUGGAGAGGAGACUGGAAUUUACGGUGUAGCGGUGAAAUGCGUAGAUAUCGUAAGGAAGACCAGUGGCGAAGGCGGGUCUCUGGACAGUUCCUGACGCUGAGGCACGAAGGUCAGGGGAGCAAGACGG